rnacentral:rRNA from 1 species
AUUGAACGCUGGCGGCAGGCUUAACACAUGCAAGUCGAGCGAGCGGCGGACGGGUGAGUAAUGUCUGGGAAACUGCCUGAUGGAGGGGGAUAACUACUGGAAACGGUAGCUAAUACCGCAUACCAUCAGAUGUGCCCAGAUGGGAUUAGCUAGUAGGUGGGGUAAUGGCUCACCUAGGCGACGAUCCCUAGCUGGUCUGAGAGGAUGACAAGCAACAUGGGAACUGAGACACGGUCCAGAGGCCUACGGGAGGCAGCAGUGGGGAAUAUGGCACAAUGGGGGCAAGUCUGAUGCAGCCAGGCCGAGUGUGUGAAGAAGGCCUUGGGGUUGGAAAGCACUUUCAGCGAGGAGGCGUUACUCGCAGAAGAAGCACCGGCUAACUCCGUGCCAGCAGCCGCGGUAAUAC